AGAUGGGGUUUCACGGUGUUAGCCAGGCUGGUCUGAAGCUCCUGACCUCGUGAUCUGCCCACCUCAGCCUCCCAAAGUGCUGGGAUUACAGACUGUCACUGCGACACCCAGGCUGGAGUGCAAUGGCGUGAUCUCGGCUCACUGCAACCUCCGCUUCCCGGGUUCAACCGAUUCUCCUGCCUCAGCCUCUCGAGUAGCUGGGACUACAGGUGUCCGCGUUUAUCACCCCUGGAACUCUCCGCCAUCCUCAGAGACCUCCCCUCGCACAAAACCGAGCAGAUGGUGCGCUUAGCGAAGCCGCCGUGAAAUAAGACUUCAGCCGAGGCACUGCGCAGCGCUCCCAGGGCAAACGUUUCCUUUCGGGCUUUCUGGAAGUUUGAUUUCACGUGCUGUCCCAUGGCCGUGCUGGGCAGAAAGGGGUUUAUCUUGGAUGUUCCUGGGGCAUAUGAGCAGUGAGAU